UACGGGGGGAGCAAGCGUUGUCCGGAUUUAUUGGGCGUAAAGAGCUCGUAGGCGGUUUGGUAAGUCAGGUGUGAAAUCUCCACGCUCAACGUGGAGGGGCCACCUGAUACUGCCAUGACUGGAGUCCGGUAGAGGAGUGUGGAAUUCCCGGUGUAGCGGUGAAAUGCGCAGAUAUCGAGAGGAACACCAGUGGCGAAGGCGAGUCCCUGGACAACGACUGACACUGAGGCACGAAAGCUAGGGGAGCAAACAGG
rnacentral:rRNA from 1 species